GGGGGUGUAGCUCAGUUGGGAGAGCACCUGCCUUGCAAGCAGGGGGCCAGGAGUUCGAGUCUCCUCAUCUCCACCA
rnacentral:tRNA from 1 species